rnacentral:lncRNA from 1 species
CUAAAAUCGACUAUAAACUCUAAAAUCGUCUGAAAACCCAAAAAAUUAAUCGAAAACCCAAAAAUCGACCGUAAACCCAAAAAAUCGACCGAAAAACUUAAAAAGGAAAGUUAUACAUUCACAGUUUAUUUGCUAAAAACCCGUUACACACUUACACUAUAAUGCAACAACACCACUAUUUUCAUUCUGUUGCCUUUGGCCUUUGACCAUAGUUGUUUUAUCUAUCUGUCAAAAGUCAAAAUCACUAAUCUUCACCUCUCCUUCUUUCUCUCACUUUCACUGAGUAGAACCGUGUCAAAAUCACUCCGAUUCGGAAGAACCUUACCAAAAUCACUCUAAUUCGUAAUCCUUAUGUCUUCAUCAUAAUCGACUUUUCAACAAACAUGGGAUAGUCUUUCAAAAUAAAAUACAUGUGAUAGAAUUGCCGAAGCUUCUCAGAAAAAUCUCUGAUCUGAAGCUUGAAAUUGUUAAUCGCCGUCUUCAUUUUCAGUCAUCUUCGUGUUCCUUCUUCAUCAUUGUCUUUGUGUUCUGUCUCUGAGAAUUGCAAUUCCUCAAAUUGUGUAUCAGAAUCAAUGAAGAAGGGAACAACUCAGUGACUGGACUAAGGUUGUGGUGCAUGCAAUGCUAUUUUGGUUAGU